rnacentral:rRNA from 1 species
CGGUGGUUAUGGCGGAGGGGAAACACCCGGUCCCAUUCCGAACCCGGUAGUUAAGCCCUCCAGCGCCGAUGGUACUGCAUGGGAGACUGUGUGGGAGAGUAGGUCACCGCCGGAACA